AACGAACGCUGGCGGCAUGCCUAACACAUGCAGGUCGAACGAGACCUUCGGGUCUAGUGGCGCACGGGUGCGUAACGCGUGGGAACCUGCCCUUAGGUUCGGAAUAACUCCCCGAAAGGGGUGCUAAUACCGGAUAAUGUCUUCGGACCAAAGAUUUAUCGCCUUUGGAUGGGCCCGCGUUGGAUUAGCUAGUUGGUAGGGUAAAAGCCUGCCAAGGCGACGAUCCAUAGCUGGUCUGAGAGGAUGAUCAGCCACACUGGGACUGAGACACGGCCCAGACUCCUACGGGAGGCAGCAGUGGGGAAUAUUGGACAAUGGGCGAAGGCCUGAUCCAGCAAUGCCGCGUGAGUGAUGAAGGCCUUAGGGUUGUAAAGCUCUUUUACCCGGGAUGAUAAUGACAGUACCGGGAGAAUAAGCUCCGGCUAACUCCGUG
rnacentral:rRNA from 1 species